rnacentral:lncRNA from 1 species
GGGUAAGCAGAUCCUGCUCCACAUGUGGCACCCGCCGUGUUGCUUAUGUGAUAACAAAUCCGGUAAAUAGUCUAAUUCGGUAGGUCACAUUCAUGAAAGGGAAGGGGAUUGUAGUUACGACGUAAGGAACAUAUCCGAUAUCAUUUGUGAAACGGUUAUUCCAUAACGGUCAACCAACUCAUGAUGGCGUCCGUAAAAUUUACGAAGGGAUGAUUUCAACGUCAUCAUUUGGAACUCUUGGUUUAAUAGCUUCCUUGUGAGCAGCAACCCUCUAUCAAGAAAAUAAUGAUAGGAAAUGCAAGCACGGGAAUAUCGUAUCAAUUGGGAGAUAUAUACCCCGUAUGCAGGUGCUGCUGGAAUGUUGCUACUUAGAAAUUGAAAGUUCACAAUUG